ensembl:snRNA U6 U6 spliceosomal RNA
GUGCUCGCUUCAGCAGCACACGCACUAAAACUGGAACAACACCGAGAAGACCAGCACCUAGCCACGCGAGGACGACGCACAAAUUCAUGAAGUGUUGCCUAUUUUU